AGGUAAAAUUGUUCUUUUGAUUAUUCAAUUAAACACGUUAAGCCGUCUGCUAAAUUAAUGGGAAUUGUUUCUAAUUGUUUCAACGAAAUUCUUUUCCUACUAAAUUAACAAGACGUUUGUGUAAUAUGAAAGUUAUUGAAGUUGACAUCCUUCAAUUAUAUGGGAAUUAUAAGUUUAAAAUAAUUUGCAUUUUAGUAUUAAAUUAUAGUCAUCAGGAUAUUUGAAAACAUUGUUCCAUUCUAAUCAUUUAUAAGGAUUUAUCAAUUGGUACAAAAUGAAAAAGAGCCAUAGUAUCGGUGCAGAAACUCUUUAUAGAAUCAAGCAAAGAUAUGAAGAUGCUUCAUUGGUGAUUUUUAAUGAGAUGGGACAUAAAGCAAUGCCAAUUGGCUAUUUUACAUCUAAAGACAGUAACAAAAGUUACUCCUUUAUCUGCCAAGGAAAUACAGCAACGGUAGUACAAAAGACUGGCAACAGUGUUACAAAAGCUGAUGAAAAACCCGUUCAAAGUCAAAUUUGCACAAUAAUGUAGUUAUUGUGCUCUCAAUUCCCAUAUCAGGGUUGUUUUUUUUUCUUUCUUUUUUAAUGAAACUGAACUUCUGAACAAUAUUUACUAACAUUCAAAUGUUUAAUUUACCUUCAGUCAGAGUAGGCAAGGUUAAGGACAGAAUGGAUUAAUCUGCGGUUUGAACCAUCCUGUCCAAAACUUUUUAUUCAAAUUAUGUCACAAUUUAAAAAAAAACAUUGUGAAAAAUAAAAGGUUAAUUAUUUUGGACCAGAAACAAAAUGAAGACAAGUUUUUGUUUUAUUAAAAAAGUUAAUUAUUAUUUUUAAUAUUGCAUUAUUCAUCCUUAUGCAAAAACAUAAUCUAUCGGUAUUAAAAGCAUAUUUAUUCGUAUUUAAAGGAUAAGGCAUUAAGUUUUGUUGUUCAUUGAAUUGCAGAGCUUUAAAAGUCAUACUAUAUCUUUUCUUGUUAUAUUAUUUUCCUUUAAUAAGUUAAAGCUCCUUUAAUAAGUAAAAGGUAUCAAAUAUAUAUUAAUAUAUGCAAUUAUUAUGUGUACAAUGGUUACACAGAGUGAUACACAUAUAAAAUUUUUACAUUUUACCAACGUUCAAGGUUUUGGACACUUUAAGACAAUUUUGGUCAGUUUAAAACCCACAUAUCCUCUCCAAAACCAGAUUAGGAUGUCCAUAACUCCAACCCUGCCUUCAAUUGUUAUUCAGGAAAUAACUAUAGAAAUUGAAUAUCAACAUGAUUGAAAAUAUUUUAAGUUUUAAAAUCAUGUAAAUAUCUUAAACUCUAUUCUUCUUUAAAUUUUAUUAAAUUUAUAUUUUCGAUUUCAAUAUUAAAAUUUGCUAUUAGAUUAAAAAUUAUAUUAAAAUUACAUUCCUUAGUUAUUGUCAUGUAGCAAUAGAUAUUAAAGUCAAAUUGAUUUAAUAUAACUCAUACUUAAUGUUUCUUAAAAUUUAAUAUUUCUGAGGAUUUUACAAGCACUUAAUAAUAAUUCAUUUGAUAUUUUAACACUUCUUUUACUAUUGCCCAAAUUUUUCAGUUAUUUAAUUUUAUUAAAAAAAUUAUUUUCAACAGUUGAUUUUAGCUUAUUUUGUGUCAAAUUUAAUUACUAUAUAAAAACAAUGCAUUGAAAUAUUAUUGAGAGUCAAUUUUCUAAUAGAACAAAUUCAUAAUAGUCUACAUUCUACAACUACUAUUAGUGUGAGUAUAUUAUUCUAUUAUGAAUACAUUCCACUUACAGAACUAGUUUCAUCUGGCCACUAUAUGUUAAUUUCACUGUUAAGUGUUCGUAUAAAGCUGUCCUAUCGUUAUAAAUACAACAUCAAAUUAAAUUUCCUGCAUAUACUUUAACAAAUUUUUAAGCAUGGAAAACUAAGUUUAACUAUAUAUUUUUAUAAAACCUUUACACAAAAAUAAUUUUCAAACACUCUGUUGACGCACUAUGCUAACUAAAUGGGGUAUUGAAAAAUUAUGUAGCUGGAAAAAUUUUUACCUCCAGCAAAGAUAAUAAAACAAGCAGCGGAAAAAAAAAAAAGCUGAUUACCUCAGAUUAAAAAAACAAAUAUAUAUAUAUAUGAAAAGUGACCUUAUUUUUGCCUUGAAUAUUGUUCAACUGGACAGAAAUAAAAUUUAUUAUUAAAAAAAGUGUAAUAUUUUUACAUCGGGUUAGUCAAACUACUAAAAGCUAUGCAUUUAAGAAUAUUUAAAGAAGGGAGAAUUGCAUUUUGUCAUAUAAGCCAUUAAUUUGAACUAUGUUGCCAUAAAAACUGAUAUUUAAAUAUGUAAGGCAUACCUGCCAACAUUGGAAAAAUAAAAUAAAGGAAAUUUUACUAACACCAUUUUUUAGGCUGUGAGUAAAGUUUUCAUACAUCAUGCAUAA
rnacentral:lncRNA from 1 species